rnacentral:rRNA from 1 species
UACGUAGGGUGCGAGCGUUGUCCGGAAUUAUUGGGCGUAAAGCGCGUGUAGGCGGCCAGAUAAGUCCGCUGUGAAAUCUCGAGGCUCAACUUCGAGCUGUCGGUGGAAACUGUCUGGCUAGAGUCCGGAAGAGGAGACUGGAAUUCCUGGUGUAGCAGUGAAAUGCGCAGAUAUCAGGAGGAACACCGGGUGGCGAAGGCGGGUC